ACUGUCCUGUGCUUGCUUCUCCUCUGUGCAACCGACAGCGCUUAUCGGCACGGACACACACGGACCCAGAGAGAUACACGACAUCUUGUGUCUAUCGUUGUCUUCUGUGCACACAAAGCGCCUUUGCGCUACCAUUCUCGCUGACACGUUGAUGGUGGUGUGUGUGUGUGUGUGUGUGUGUGUGUGUGUGUGUCUGUCGCUGGUCUAUACAUUGAGAGCCCCCUUCCCCCUUCCCACAGCGAUAUUCCCCCCCCCUUCCCCCCCCCGUCCUCACCCUUCUACUGUACAACACCCACGCAUACCGUCAGCACAGGACGGAAGAACUGUGGUCUUGACAGAUUUCACAACUUUCGCCAGCAGUUUUAGAGAUCUCAAUGAGCUCAGACGACAUAGACGCCCUCCGUUCAGAGCUGCUCCGACAGAAGAUUAUAUUCGAGGCGGAGCUGCGUCGCCAGCGUGAGACGUUUGAGGAGCGGCUUUCACUCAUCACCAAUGAGCUCGCUGAUCGCGAGGCGGAUUGCCGCAAUCUUCAGUCGGUCAUCACCAUCCUCGGCCGCAAAGUGGACGCCAUCGCGGAGCAGCGUCAGUACAUUGCCGUAGUUCACCGUCCACCUACACCGACGCGCCAGCCCAGCAUUCAUGAGAGUCCGUUCCGUCGUGAGACCUCCGCUCUCGUGCCGCCCCUGAGUAGCAACGGCGAUGCGCAAGAACACGAGCGCGCCACCUCGACCGUGAAGAAGAGCGGCUCGCGCCGGCCCUCACCAUCCCUCAACGACCCCCCGGCGUUUGUGCGGCGCUCGGGCAUGCCCAUCACCCGGGUUGCGUCUAUUAGUGCCCUCAGCCGUACAAGCAGCCCGCACGUGCAUGGACACGCUGCCCGCCCGCUUCUCAGGACAAACACGUCCGCUACCGUGACGAGCGAGGGGAAUAGCAACAGUGAAAAACGUGCGCUGCGGCACCGCGCCGUGUCGAGGCGGCGCACGAGCAGCGUAAGUCACCUCGCGGGCCUCAGGUCUACAGAUGACUGGUAAGCAUGCGGGGAAUACGAGGAUCGCAUGUCGCCCACGUCUGGGAAGCAAUGUGAAGGCAAAUGGCCCGCCUCAGUACUGGCCACAACGGGACGGAUCCGUACUGGUUUUCCCUGUCUUUCUUGUUUGCGGCUCGAAACGUGUGGAUUGCGUGCCCUGCAGCUGCCGAAGAGCCCAAGUUGGCUUUGAUACUGCUGUGUGUGUGUAGUGAGGCGUGUGGCAGCAGCCUUCGGGGACUUGUUAAACCUUUUUUUUUUCGUCUGUGGUUGCAUCGUGUGCCUCCACCUCUUUGGUGCUUGUUCUCUUCUCUUGCACAUACAGUCAAAGAAAUGGGCACCCUCGCAGAGAGCAGCAUGUGGGAUUACCUCGCGCGUGGAAAGGUGAGAGCACGGACACCCAUCCCUCUCUCCUGGUAGGUGUGGCCUGCGGCAUUCGCGUGCCGAAGCACACUGCAAGGUGGUGGUGAUGGUGGCUACCGCUGCUACACAUGCGCAUCCGCCUCCCGUUUUCUUUUUUAUUCAUCAUCGAUUGGCACAGGCCUGAGCGCGCAGGCCAAGUUUGCUUUCCCUCUCUUCGCUCCGCCCUGUUGAGUGUAUCACUUUACUCUCUUCCUUGUGCUGUAGGCUAGAGGUUGUGUUGUCAUAUCUUUUUCUGUGCGUGUGCUUGACAUAGACGUAGACCGAGCUCUGGGCGGCUUCUUUGAUUGGCGAGGCACCCGCCCACCUAUGCUACGGCGAGGGCCGUGCCCUCUCUGUGAUUGUGAUGUUCUUCUGCACCGUACGCACAUGGCGUCGCUGCGGAGGUUUUCAUACCGUUCUAAC
rnacentral:misc_RNA from 1 species